rnacentral:rRNA from 1 species
AUGAGCCUCCUCAUGGGUGUGCGCAAGGAUAUUUGGUUCAUCAAAGACGAGCUAGCAACGAUGCAGACUUUCCUGGUGGCAACUGAAGGUAUGAAGAAGAAAGACAUGCUACUUAAGGUGUGGGCAGAACAACUCAAGGACCGACAUCAAAUCGCGGUGCAAAUCCGCGAUCUCAAAUCACGAGUUGAAGAAGUCAGCAACAGGAACAGAUGCUACAACCUGAUUGAGAAGAGCCAAAUUACCAGAACCAUUGAUGAGAGGGAUUCUUGUAUGGAAGAUAUUCGCAACCAUUCAGCUAGCAACAUAAAUGAAGCAGGACUUGUGGGGUUUUCCAAGCCCAAACAAGAGUUGAUAAAGCUUAUAGAUGUUCAUGCCGAAAAUGGUCCUGCUCAGGUAGUAUGUGUCGUCGGCAUGGGCGGUUUGGGUAAGACUACUCUUACAAGGAAGGUUUAUGAAAGUAUGGAGAACUUUUAUUGUUGUGCUUGGAUCAUUGUCUCGCAAUCAUUUGUCAAGAUGGAGCUUCUCAAGGUUAUGAUCAAAAUCUUUUUUGGCAAUGAAGCAUUGAAGAAGCAACUUGAAGGUAAUGUAGCGCGAGAAGAGGACCUUGCCAACUAUCUGAGGAAAGAGCUGCUUGAAAAGACGUACUUUGUUGUACUUGACGAUUUGUGGAACAUAGAUGAUUGGAACUGGAUAAAAAAUAUUGCUUUUCCGAGUAGUAACAACAAGGGUAGUCGGAUAAUAGUAACAACACGAGAUGUUGGUUUAGCUAAGAAGUGCUCGUUGGAAUCUGCCAUACCACUUAUCUACCACCAUCAACCCCUAGAAACAAAUGAUGCCAUAUACUUGCUACUAAUAAGGAAGGCUAGGAGAAGUGAGAAGGACAUGGAAAAUGAUGUGAAAAUGAGGGAAAUAGUUACCAAGAUAGUCAAAAAGUCAGGACUGUUACCACUAGCUAUUCUCACAAUAGGAGGCAUGCUUGCCACUAGAGAGGUUAGUGAAUGGCAAAGUAUUUACGACCAGAUCCCCUUAGAACUAGAGAGCGACCGAAGUCUUGAAGCAAUGAGGAGGAUGGUUACCCUGAGUUACAACCACUUGCCUUCUCAUCUUAAGUCGUGUUUUCUGUAUUUAAGCAUAUUUCCUGAGGAUUUUGAAAUCCAAAGGAGACGUCUCGUAGAAAGAUGGAUAGCCGAGGGGUUUGUUAUUGUCAGGGAUGGGGUAAGUGCUGAGGAGGUUGGGAAUAGUUACUUUAAUGCUCUAAUCAACAAAAGCAUGAUUCAGCCAUCAAGAGUGAACAUAGAAGGAGUUGUGAAGAGCUGUCGAGUCCAUGAUAUUGUGCGUGAUGUCAUGAUCUCAGUUUCUAGAGAUGAAAAUUUCGUCAAAAUAAAGGAAGAAGGUAAAAUCAUGGAAAUAUUAGGGACACUUCCCAACCUCAUGCAACUUCGUCUUGAACAUGGCUCUUAUAUUGGGGAGAAGUUGGCGUUCAAAACGAGAGCAUUCCCAAAUCUCAAGAAGUUUGGUAUUUAUGCUCUGGCGGAACUGAGAGAGGUGAGAUUUGAGGAUGGCACCUCACCCCAGCUGGCAAUGAUAGAUAUCAGUUGGUGCAAUUUGGCAUCAGGAAUUAUUGGAGUCAACCAGCUUCCAAAGCUCAAGCAGAUCUCACUUGGUUCCUAUGGUCGAGUGGCAAAGCUUGCUAUGCUUCAUCCCAUUGUCGACAGUUACAAGAUGGGACCCGACUUCAACAGAGGCUAG